AAAUAAAAAUCGGUGUUGUUGCUGCCUUUCGUGGUGACGCGUCGGAAUUGGGUCGUCUUUACCUUCGGUUAAGUGACUUAAAAUUUUUAUGAUUUUCGAACGUAUUUAAAUUGCUUACGUACGUUUGAGAUAUCAAAUGUUUAUUAGGUUCGGUCAUCCUCAUGAUUCGCGCCUAUAAUUUUUCAUU
rnacentral:misc_RNA from 1 species